ACGGAGGAUGCAAGCGUUAUCCGGAAUGAUUGGGCGUAAAGCGUCCGCAGGUGGCAGUUCAAGUCUGCUGUCAAAGACCGGGGCUCAACCUCGGAAAGGCAGUGGAAACUGAACAGCUAGAGUAUGGUAGGGGCAAAGGGAAUUCCUGGUGUAGCGGUGAAAUGCGUAGAGAUCAGGAAGAACAUCGGUGGCGAAGGCGCUUUGCUGGACCAUAACUGACACUCAGGGACGAAAGCUAGGGGAGCGAAUGGGAUUAGAUACCCCAGUAGUCCUAGCCGUAAACGAUGGAUACUAGGUGUUGUCUGUAUCGACCCGGACAGUGCCGUAGCUAACGCGUUAAGUAUCCCGCCUGGGGAGUACGCACGCAAGUGUG
rnacentral:rRNA from 1 species